rnacentral:lncRNA from 1 species
AUUCAGCAGGAGCUGUAAGUAAAACAGAUUCUCACAAACGGGGGUGUAAGGAUGGCAGACAAGCAGGAGCAUUUCUGAUGCGUGUGUGUAGCAGAGCGAUGGGCACAUGUUUUUGGUGCCAUAACUUAGAUCUGGAUCAGAGCCACCAUCAGACCCUCGGACAGGACAACCAGGCCUUCCAGCUCUCACCAGAACCUUUGUCUCCAGUCUGCUUGCUUGUUUGGGUAUCCGGUGGACUCUAACUGAUACAAGAGCCUUCUAGAAAAGUUUUCCUUGAUCUUUAAAAUAAACGCAGAGAAAAGAAGGUCCACUUUGUACUUCUGGAUGUUGCUUUCUUCAUGUGCCACCUGGAACUGUAGCAGUCAUUGUGAGACCAUGAGGAAGCCCACCUAAAAACAAGGCAGACACAGUCCAGCUCAUCAAGUGGAAAGGUGAAAAGAAC